GACGAACGCUGGCGGCGCGCUUAACACAUGCAAGUCGAACGGAUAGGCCUGCUUUCCCUUGUGGAUUGCGGGUACUCGAGUGGCGAACGGGUGAGUAACACGUGAGUGAUCUGCCCCCAACUUGGGUAUAAGCCUGGGAAACUGGGUCUAAUUCCCGAUAGGACUGCAGGGUGGUGCCUGUGGUGGAAAACGAUUUUCUAGUGGUUGGGGAUGAGCUCGCGGCCUAUCAGCUUGUUGGUGGGGUAAUGGCCUACCAAGGCGGCGACGGGUAGCCGGCCUGAGAGGGUGGACGGCCACAUUGGGACUGAGAUACGGCCCAGACUCCUACGGGAGGCAGCAGUGGGGAAUAUUGCACAAUGGGCGGAAGCCUGAUGCAGCGACGCCGCGUGGGGGAUGACGGCCUUCGGGUUGUAAACUCCUUUCGACCGCGAGGAAGCCACCUGGUUGGAAGGGUGGUGACGGUAGUGGGAGAAGAAGCACCGGCUAACUACGUG
rnacentral:rRNA from 1 species